CAGGACGGAGGGAACUUCGACGGAUCUCACUUUAGGGAAGUACCGCGUUUGCACGGAGAACAGCGAUCUUCCCUGAGGGAUCUGGUUGCAGAAAGAGAAGCCCUGAGCUCUUCAGGAGUCCAUCCUCCAAAAAAGCGGCUGGGAGGGCUGCGCAGGUGCAGAUAACACCUACUAAGAAGAUAGAAGACUUACUUUCAUCAUCUGAAUCAAAUCCAAAGAGUGUCUGACAUUUCUUUUGUGCAAGAAUUUAGGUCCAAGAUGCCGACGUAGGCAGACCCUGAACUCACCUCCUCCAGGGACACAACAAAUCUGCACCUACACAGAGAGCAAUUCCUCCUGAAGAACUGAGGACUGACUGAACAGCUGAACAACAAAAGUAAGAGCGACCACAUAGAGAAUGGCAAGAAAGACGGAGACACGGGGUCCCAAAAGAAUGAAGAAAUAAUACCUUAAAACUUUCCCAACCUGGGGAAGGAAAGAGACAUCCAGGCUCAGGAGCACAGAGAAUUUGGAUCAAGAUGAACCCAAGGAGAUCCAUACCACUACACAUAAUAAUUAAAAUGUCAAAGAGGAAAGAUUUUAAAAAGUAUAGUUCCUUACCCAGGACUAUGAAAUUAAAAGCUCUGAGAAUAGGCAUGAAAACCUGCAUUAAAUAACAAGCUUUCUGUGUGACCUUAUGCUUACUAAAGUUUUUAAAGAGUUACUUGAGGGGCGCCUGGGUGGCGCAGUCGGUUAAGCAUCCGACUUCAGCCAGGUCACCAUCUCGCGGUCCAUGAG